GACGAACGCUGGCGGCGUGCUUAACACAUGCAAGUCGAACGAUGAAACCUAGCUUGCUAGGUCGAUUAGUGGCGAACGGGUGGGUAACACGUGACUAACCUGCCCCUUUCUCUGGGAUAACGCUCCGAAAGGAGUGCUAAUACCGGAUACUCACACCGAGGCACAUGCCUUGGUGUGGAAAGUUUUUCGGAAAGGGAUGGAGUCGCGGCCUAUCAGCUUGUUGGUGAGGUAACGGCUCACCAAGGCGACGACGGGUAGCCGGCCUGAGAGGGCGACCGGCCACACUGGGACUGAGACACGGCCCAGACUCCUACGGGAGGCAGCAGUGGGGAAUAUUGCACAAUGGGCGCAAGCCUGAUGCAGCGACGCCGCGUGAGGGAUGAAGGUCUUCGGAUUGUAAACCUCUUUCAGUAGGGACGAAGCGAAAGUGACGGUACCUAAAGAAGAAGCACCGGCUAACUACGUGCCAGCCGCCGCCGUAA
rnacentral:rRNA from 1 species